UACGUAGGGUGCUAGCGUUGCUCGGAAUCACUGGGCGUAAAGGGUGCGUAGGCGGGUCUUUAAGUCAGGGGUGAAAUCCUGGAGCUCAACUCCAGAACUGCCUUUGAUACUGAGGAUCUUGAGUUCGGGAGAGGUGAGUGGAACUGCGAGUGUAGAGGUGAAAUUCGUAGAUAUUGGGAAGAACACCGGUGGCGAAGGCGGCUCUCUGGACCGUAACUGACGCUGAGGCGCGAAAGCGUGGGGAGCAAACGGG
rnacentral:rRNA from 1 species